rnacentral:lncRNA from 1 species
AACAGGGGGAGGCGGCGUGACACGGAGGGGGUGAUCAACCCACGUGGGUCGAGCCUGGAGCCUAGCGGAGGGCGGGGCGGGGCCGCUGGGGGGCAGGAUCCAGCAGGGGCGUCUGUCCCCAGGCCCUAAGGCAGGAGCCGGGGCGGUGCGGAGGGCCGGGGCAGCGCGGCGAGCCUGGAGCUAAGUCGCUGGGGAGGUGGGAAAGGGCCCGGGCAUCCAGGCCUGAGGCCUGAGAGGGCAGCGGUCGGGACCCUCGGGCAAUGAGAGCAAGGUAGAGUCCAUCCGAGAGGACACGUCCGCGGUUUGCUGCAAAAAGCCCCCUUUGGCUGCUGCGUGGAGGGAGGCUCCGGAGAGCGUGGAAUCAGAGGACCUGUGGCAUCUGCCCACUACUGGCUGCGGAGCUUGGCCAUCCUGGCAUGUUUUGAUCCUCCCUCUACAACCCUCUGGGGCAGACUGUUUGCUAUGAAGGAUGCAGAGGCAAUUUCCAUAAUUGUCUCAAGAAAAGAUUUGAUCAGCCAAACUGUGAGCAGAAACAGCCUCGGCGGAGGGAAAGCCAAAGGCACAGCACGGGGUGCAGAAACCAAUGGAAACAGACCACACAGGCCACGGGGAGACCCGGAACGUCUGGGUCCAGUCUAGGCCCCUCCCCAUUCUAUAGAAAGGGAAGCUGAGGCGCAUGGAGGCCACGUGGCCCGACCCAGCUCCCAUGGAAAGUCUGUGAGCAAAACGGCAGAUUGUGCAUUGUGUGGGUUGUGCGCCACGUGGAGACAUUGGUAGCGUUGAAAUCCAUCAGGGCACAUUAUGGGGUUCGCUCUUGAAAACCCUCCCAAAGACAAUGCACCGUUCCUUGAAGCUAAUUGCUUUAGUUUGAGGUAAUAUUCGUCACAGAAACACCAGCAGUAACCUUUGGUCUUGGCAAAUUCUCCCCUCAAUCACAUAACGUAAACAGCGAUAAACGAGGGCUUUUUAAGGCUUUCUUCAUAAUGCGUUACACAUGCAUUUGUUACUGAAUCUGCGUGAGCUCCAAGCCCUGAAAUCUGAGCUCAGCUGGGAGGUGAGUGGGCUGGUCCGCCUGCGGUGGGGUCAGCGUCCCCAGGAGACACCCAGCCCAACCGGCCGGGCCCCUUCCCCCACUCCUCCUCCUCCCCUCCCUUCUCCCCACUCCUCCACCUUCUCACCAGCUUCUCUCUCUCCCCUUUCUCUCUAGCCCUUUCUUCUACUCUGUCUCCCUUUGUCUCACCCUGCAUCUCUUCUUUCUUUUUUCUGUCUUUCACUCUCUGGACCUGCUUGUGGUUCUUUUACUUUGUCAUCUUGGCCUCAGUUUCUGUGUGUCGGUGUUCUGCUCUCUGAUUUUCUCUGUAUUUCUCUCCUUGUACGAUUCUCUGUCUCUCCUUGUCUGACUGAUUCUCCCUCUUUGUCUCUUCAUCUCUCUCUCUCAUCUCUGUCUCUCCAACUGUCCCCUUACACAUACCCUGCAAAGAGCCUGGCUCCCCCUCCUCCUUCCUUUUCUACCCAGGGGAUUCAGAGGAGUAUUCACCUAGGGGUGGGGGAUUGCAGCAGUGGAGGAUGAACAAAGCAUUUGGGAGGCUCACAAGAAGGCUCAUGGUCUUUAGGUGGGGGUGGGAGAAGUCAGGGCGGGCUGCGUGGAGGUGAUGAAGUUCAUUUGAGUGAAGUCUGGGAGGAGCAAUAGGAACCGGCCACAUGGAGGUGGCAAGAACAGCAUUUCACGCAGAGGAACCAUGGACGCGCAGGCACAGGGAUGAAACCCUCUUGCUGUCUGCAUGGCCCUCACUGCACAGAGGAGUGACUGCCCCGAUCUGCUAGGCUAAGAGGAGGGCAAGGCGCAGAGAGGGCAAUGCUGCUAGAGGCAGGCCAUGAGUGGGUGACGGCAGGACCCAGCCAUCUCACCUGACCAGACCUGGGCCUUCCUCACUGAGGCAGCUCUUGUUGGCUUCCCAUCCCCAGGGAUCUCUGCAGGGACCACAGGUGGACAAACAGAAGGCUUCCAGAAAAUGGAAGGCUUUAUAGGGAGGGGAAAUGUUGCAGGACUGUGUUAAAAGUCCAUCUUCUUCCCCAGAAACCUGCCUGGUCCAUCUCAGGCAUGUCAGCCCCACCUCUCCAGGCCACAGGCCUCAGCGUGUCUGCUCCCUUCCCCACUCACCAUUGCCCACUUGGCCUCAGACUCUGCAAUUCUACCAGUCAAGCCCUCAUCCCCAUCCUGGACAGUGGCAGCUGCCGCCUCUCAGGCCCUGGCUCCCCGCACCCCCACAGCCUGUCUCCACUGUGGCCACCCAAGCCUGACCAUCCCUCCUCAGAUUAGACCCUCCAUGGCCAUCUCAGAGAGAAGCCGGCCCCACAACGUCCCAGAGACCAUACCUCUGACCCCUCCGUCACCACCGAAUGUUACCUUUUCAGAGGGGCCUCUUGUGGGCCCAAGGCCCUGCAAUUUUGCUUCACUGUGCCCCCCAACACACACAGAAUUUACUUAUUUUCUUGGGUCACUCUCCACCCCCACUUGACUGGGCUCCUAGAGCUGUGUGUUGCCUGCCCUGCCCUGGUGGGACAGUGUCCCUGAGCUGAGAACCUGACACUGGGGUGGGCACAGGAGGGGCUGCAGGCAGGGGAGCUGCAGGGUGCAGGGACAUGGUGCAGGCAUGGGGGCCCCAGGCCCUUCCAAGGGACGCUCCUGUCCCCCAGGUGCCCAGGCCCUCCAGGGAGGCACUCUCCACUUGCUGGGCUCUGCGAUUCAGACAGCGGGACCCUCAUGGGGCCCUGGCCUCACCUGUGAGCAGCAGGCUCUGGGGCUGCUCCAGGAAUGGAGCCAGAGGCCUCUGCAGGCCCUCGUGCUACUCAAAUAACAAGAACAUUGAACAUUGCAGCAGUGUAACGUAAAAGACCAGUUUCCUUCAGCACCCAUUUUAGUGAGCCUGAAAGAGAUUUCCUGACGGCCCCAGCCCAGAACCAGCCCUACGGUGGAGUGUCAGCAGAACCUCCGUGCUCCUCUCUGGCAGCUCCCUUGAGCCUUCAACCCCCUUGCCCAGUGGGGGCUAGGGAGGGGGAGUUGGGGGCAGGUCCUGCAGCCUCACUCCUGCCUUCUAAGGUCACUUCCAGGAAGCAUCUCCUCUGCGCCCUCCGACCUCCUAAACCCCCAAUCCUGAAUCUAUAUCCCCCACAUCAUGGUGAGGGCGGGUUUGUCAGGUUUUAAAAGCUUUAUUUUUUGGGCUUAGGGAUGUUUGAGUUUUCCUUUAAUUUUUCUUCUUUAAAACAUCCUCAUGCAUUACAUAUGCUUACCCACGUUUGAUAUAUUUCACAAUUAUAAAAUAGUUUUUUAAAUAAAAAGGGCACAUGAAUAACGUUAUUCAUUAAGGUUAACUAUCAGGUUAAGAUAAUUAAAGUGUUGUAAGAUCUUAACAUUAUUUACAAGGAAUAAAAAUAGUUAUUAAUGUUAGACUUUGGGAAAUAAUACAUAUUGUAAUUUCUAGAGUAAUCUCAAAAGAAAAAUGGUAUAUAAUUUUCAAACUAGUGGUGGAAAAAAUGAAAUGCUAAAAAUAAUCAAUUCAAAGGAAUAACAGAAAAGAAAUAUGGAACGGACCACAAAUAAAAAGCAGAAAAUAAGAUGGAAAAUUAAAGCCCAGCUAUACCAGUAAUUACAUUCUAUGUACAUGGGCCAAAUGCUUCCAUAAAAGACAAAUGUCAUCAGAUUGAAUUUUAAUAAUUCGAACUACAUGCUCUUUUUUGUUUAAAUGACAAACUUUAUUUUUUAAUUGACACAUUGUAAUUGUACGUAUUUAUAGGGUGCAUUUUGAUGUUUUGAUGUAUAUCUAUGUUGUAUAAUGAUCCAAUUAGGGUAGUUAAUGUAUCCAUCACCUUAUGCAUUUAUCAUUUCUUUGUGGUGAGAACAUUCAAAAGACCCCCUUCUAGCUAUUUUGGAAAAUGCAAUACUCUUUACCAUAGGCACCCUAUUAUGCAAUAGAACACCAGAACUCAUUUCUUCUCUCUAAAUGUAACUUUGUACCUGUUGACUAACCUCUCCCCAUCCUCCCCACUCUCUUCCCUCCCCAGUCUCUGGUAACCACUGUUCUACUCUCUGCUUCUAUGAUUAUCAACUUUUUUUUCCUUUUUAGAUUCCACAUAUGGGCAAGAUUAUGUGGUAUCUGUCUUUCUGUGUCUGGAGUAUUUCGGUUAACAUAAUGUCCUCCAGGUUCAUCCACGUUGCCAAGAUGACAGGACGUCCUUCUUUUUAUGGCUGAAUAGUAUUCCAUUGCAUGUAUGUACCACAUUUUCUGUAUCCAUUCAACCACUGAUGACUCUUAGAUUGACUCCAUAUCUUGGUUGUUGUUGUGAAUAAUGCUGCAAUAAAUGUGGGAGUGCAGAGAUCUCUUC